AACGAACGCUGGCGGCAUGCCUAACACAUGCAAGUCGAACGAGACCUUCGGGUCUAGUGGCGCACGGGUGCGUAACGCGUGGGAACCUGCCCUUAGGUUCGGAAUAACUCCCCGAAAGGGGUGCUAAUACCGGAUAAUGUCUUCGGACCAAAGAUUUAUCGCCUUUGGAUGGGCCCGCGUUGGAUUAGCUAGUUGGUAGGGUAAAAGCCUACCAAGGCGACGAUCCAUAGCUGGUCUGAGAGGAUGCGCAGCCACACUGGGACUGAGACACGGCCCAGACUCCUACGGGAGGCAGCAGUGGGUAAUAUUGGACAAUGGGCGAAAGCCUGAUCCAGCAAUGCCGCGUGAGUGAUGAAGGCCUUAGGGUUGUAAAGCUCUUUUACCCGGGAUGAUAAUGACAGUACCGGGAGAAUAAGCUCCGGCUAACUCCGUG
rnacentral:rRNA from 1 species